UACGAAGGGUGCAAACGUUGCUCGGAAUCAUUGGGCGUAAAGCGCACGUAGGCGGCUUCAAAAGUCGGAUGUGAAAUCCCGUGGCUCAACCAUGGACGUGCAUUCGAAACUGCGAAGCUUGAGUAUGGAAGAGGGUCGCGGGAUUCCCGGUGUAGAGGUGAAAUUCGUAGAUAUCCGGAGGAACACCGGUGGCGAAGGCGGCUUCCUGGACCGACACUGACGCUGAGGCGCGAAAGCUAGGGGAGCAAACGGG
rnacentral:rRNA from 1 species